UACGGAGGGUGGCAAGCGUUGUUCGGAUUCACUGGGCGUAAAGCGCGCGCAGGUGGGUGUGCAAGUCGGAAGUGAAAUACCCAGGCUCAACCCCUGGGGCUGCUCCCGAAACGGACACGGCCUUAGGGACUGGUAGAGGACUGGUAGCAAUUCCCGGUGUAGGCGGUAGGAAUGCGUAGAGAGUCGGGAAGAAUACCAUGUGGCGAAGGCGGACCAU
rnacentral:rRNA from 1 species